rnacentral:lncRNA from 10 species
UUUCUUUUGUUUUCUAGCACAGAUGAGAAAAGAAGGUUCAGUGAAGAAACUAUCAGGUCUGGUAAGAAUAAGAGGAAACAAAAUGUUAUUGGCAUGCUCAAUAAUGAUAAAGCCAAGAUGUCACCUGCCAGUACAAUGAAGAGGGACUGGGGUCUUGGCACUAAAAGGUGCAACUGAAGGAACAGAGAAACUGUGUAAUUGUAAAACCUCCUUGUGGCCCCACAUGGCUCAUACUCAAAUGAUUCCAGUGUCUAUGGCCUGAGAAGUGCUUCAUGAAAUGAGGAACAGUGCCUCAAGUCAGAGAUUGGCAUGGUGAGUCGCCGGGAGGUGGAAAAGAGGCACAGCUUCAUUGAAGCUACAGUUGGCUGCAAGGAACCAUUUCAAAUCAUCUUAGUUCUACGGGGCCAUUCAGGUGGCAAAGGCCCAGGUAACAUUUGAUCAAGUUGCUACAGGGCUUGGACCUACUUUUAUUGCCCCUUACUUUUCCCACUAACAUUUUUGCUUGAAAUAUCGAUGUUUUUUUGGUGCAGCAAAACUCUUUUCCCACAGCUAAAUUGAAGUAGGGCAUAUGUGCUUCCCUCACCUCGCUCCCAGUCCCUCUUGACCCCGAAAUGGUCUAGCAGCCUGUGCUUUGUUAAACUGAAAAUGUGUAGAAAUUUUUAUAGAGAUAUUCAGCUAUAUAAAUAGCUUUGAAAUUUGUCAUAACUUUAAAAACAGGUCAAAAAGGAAAUUGAACAGCUAGUGAGUUUCUGUCUUAGUCCGUUUUGUGCUGCUAUAACAGAAUACCAUAAACUAGGUAAUUUAUAAACAAUAGAAGUUUAUUUGUCUCAAUGGCCAACAAGCAUAUGGAAAAAUGUUCAACAUCACUAAUUAUCAGGGAAAUACAAAUCAAAACCACAGUGCGAUACCACGUAACUUCUGCAAUAAUGGUCAUAAUCAAAAAAUAAUAAUAAAUAAAUAGAUGUUGGCAUGGAUAUGGUGAAAAGGGAACACUUUUACUGGGUUGGUGGGAAUGUAAACUAGCACAACCACUAUAGAAAACAGUAUGGAGACUCCUUAAAGAACUAAAAGUAGACCUACCAUUUGACCUAGCAACCCCACUGCUAUGUAUCUGCUCAGAAGUAAAGAAGUCAUUAUACAAAAAAGACACUUGUUACAUGCAUGUAUAUAGCAGUACAAUUGCCCAAAUGCCCAUCAAUCAAUGAGUGGAUAAAAAAUGUUAUAUACAUACAUAUAUGUGUGUGUAUAUAUACAUAUACAUAUACACACACACACACAUACACACACACACACACACACACACACAUAUACCAUGGAAUACUGCUCAGCCAAAGAAAGGAAUGAAAUAAUGGGAUUUGCAGCAACCUGGAUGGAAUUGGAGGCUAUUAUUCUAAGUGAAGUAACUCAGGAAUAGAUAACCAAACAUACAUGUUCUCACUCAUAUGUGGGAACUAAGCUAUGAGAAUGCAAAGGCAUAAGAAUGAUAUAUUGGAGUUUGGAGACUCAAAGGAAAGAGUGGGGGAGAGGGAGGGAUAAAAGACUACACAUUGGGUACAGUAUACAAUGCUUGAGUGAUGGGUGCAACAAAAUCUCAGAAAUCCCCACUAAUGAGCAUAUUCAUGUAACAAAAUACCAUCUGUUCCCCAAAACUUAUUGAAAUAAAAAAUAAAAAAUUAAUGAUAAUAACAAUAAAAAGAAGUUUAUUUGUCUUAUGUUUCUGGAGGCCAGGAAGUCCAAGAUCAAGGGGUUGCAUCUAGUGGGGGUCUUCUUGCUGAGUCAUAACCUGGCAGAAGACAUCACAUGAAGAGAGAAUGGAUGAGAGCCAGCAAGCAAGAGAGGGCCAAACUUGCUUUUAUAACAAACCCAUUCCUGACAUCAUGAACUUACCCCUGCCAUAAUGACAUUAAUCCAUUCCAGGGGGCAAAGCUCUCAUGACCUAAUCACCUCUCAAAAGUGCCACCUCUCGAUGCUGUUGCAUUGGGGAUUAAGUUUCCAACACAUGAACUCUGGGGAGAUGCAUUCAAACCUUAGCAGUUUAA